GGUAGAAUUCCAGGUGUAGCGGUGAAAUGCGUAGAGAUCUGGAGGAAUACCGGUGGCGAAGGCGGCCCCCUGGACGAAGACUGACGCUCAGGUGCGAAAGCGUGGGGAGCAAACAGGAUUAGAUACCCUGGUAGUCCACGCCGUAAACGAUGUCGACUUGGAGGUUGUGCCCUUGAGGCGUGGCUUCCGGAGCUAACGCGUUAAGUCGACCGCCUGGGGAGUACGGCCGCAAGGUUAAAACUCAAAUGAAUUGACGGGGGCCCGCACAAGCGGUGGAGCAUGUGGUUUAAUUCGAUGCAACGCGAAGAACC
rnacentral:rRNA from 2 species